rnacentral:rRNA from 1 species
GUAGCAUAAUAAUUUGCCUUAUAAUUUGAGGCUAGAAUGAAUGGUUUGACGAAGGUUAAUCUGUCUCUAUCCUAUUUUGUAGAAUUUAAUUUUUAAAGUGAAAAAGCUUGUAUUUUUUAAAGGGACGAGAAGACCCUAUUGAGCUUAUAAUUUUACUGUUGUUUAUAAGUAUUUAUUUAAUGAUGGAUAAAUUUUAAUUGGGGUGAUUGAGGAAUAAAAUAUAUUAAAUAGUAACUUCCUUAGGUUAAAUGUUGUUGGAUAAAGUAACCAAUAUAUUAUUGCUUAUAAUAUAGUUACCAUAGGGAUAACAGCGUAAUUUAUUUAGAGAGUUCUUAUUGAAAAAUAAGAUUGCGACCUCGAUGUUGGAUUAAAGUAACCUUAAGGUGCAGAAGCUU